rnacentral:rRNA from 1 species
UGGGGAAUUUUGGACAAUGGGCGAAAGCCUGAUCCAGCCAUGCCGCGUGAGUGAAGAAGGCCUUCGGGUUGUAAAGCUCUUUUAGUCGGAAAGAAAGAGUUGCAAUGAAUAAUUGUGAUUUAUGACGGUACCGACAGAAAAAGCACCGGCUAACUACGUGCCAGCAGCCGCGGUAAUACGUAGGGUGCGAGCGUUAAUCGGAAUUACUGGGCGUAAAGGGUGCGCAGGCGGUCUUGCAAGUCAGAUGUGAAAGCCCCGGGCUUAACCUGGGAAUUGCGUUUGAAACUACAAGGCUAGAGUGCAGCAGAGGGGAGUGGAGUUCCAUGUGUAGCAGUGAAAUGCGUAGAGAUGUGGAAGAACACCGAUGGCGAAGGCAGCUCCCUGGGUUGACACUGACGCUCAUGCACGAAAGCGUGGGGAGCAAACA